rnacentral:rRNA from 1 species
GUGCAGCAGUCGCGAAACUUCACACUGUGCGAAAGCACGAUGAGGGAAUCCCAAGUGCUUGCACGUAAGUGUAAGCUGUUUCUCUGUUUAAAACGCAGAGAGAGUAAGGGCUGGGUAAGACGGGUGCCAGCCGCCGCGGUAAUACCUGCAGCUCAAGUGGUGACCGUUAUUAUUGGGCCUAAAACGUCCGUAGCCGGUUUAAUAAAUGCCUGGGUAAAUCGUGGAGCCCAACUUCACGAAUUCCGGGUAGACUGCCGAGCUCGGGACCGGAAGAGGGAGAGGGUACUUCAGGGGUAGGGUGAAAAUUUCCUUUCCAUUAACGCUUUGCGCGAAGCGGAAAGGGUUAUCACAAUCCUGUAAUCCCUGGAGGACCACCCGUGGCGAAGGCGCUCUCCUAAGACGGUCCGACGGUGAGGGACGAAAGCCAGGGGAGCAAACCGGAUUAGAUACCCGUGUAGU